rnacentral:tRNA from 1 species
AAAUCCGUUGGCUUUAUUGACCGUGAGGGUUCAAGUCCCUCUACCCCCAAAACCCCCA